rnacentral:rRNA from 1 species
CGUGUAGGCGGUCUGUUAAGUCUGAUGUGAAAGCCCCGGGCUCAACCCGGGAAGUGCAUUGGAUACUGGCAGACUUGAGUACGGGAGAGGGAAGUGGAAUUCCGAGUGUAGGAGUGAAAUCCGUAGAUAUUCGGAGGAACACCGGUGGCGAAGGCGGCUUCCUGGACCGAUACUGACGCUGAGACGCGAAAGCGUGGGGAGCAAACAGGAUUAGAUACCCUGGUAGUCC